AUGGUAUCAAUCUCAUGCAAUGAAGUUUUAAAAGAAAAAAGUUAUGAUUGGUUGUUUCUCAAAUUUGAGGGGGACUUUUGAUAUAUGUCCCUGGCAUCAUUGAGGUAAAGAAAAAAUUAUCAAUGGCACCACUAAUUGACACAUUACUAAUUAGCAUAGCCUGG